rnacentral:rRNA from 1 species
CCUACGGGUGGCAGCAGUGGGGAAUAUUGGACAAUGGGCGAAAGCCUGAUCCAGCCAUGCCGCGUGUGUGAAGAAGGCCUUCGGGUUGUAAAGCACUUUCAGUGGGGAAGAAAGCCUUGGGGCUAAUACCCUCGAGGAAGGACAUCACCCACAGAAGAAGCACCGGCUAACUCCGUGCCAGCAGCCGCGGUAAUACGGAGGGUGCGAGCGUUAAUCGGAAUUACUGGGCGUAAAGCGCGCGUAGGCGGUCUGAUAAGCCGGUUGUGAAAGCCCCGGGCUCAACCUGGGAACGGCAUCCGGAACUGUCAGGCUAGAGUGCGGGAGAGGAGGGUAGAAUUCCCGGUGUAGCGGUGAAAUGCGUAGAGAUCGGGAGGAAUACCGGUGGCGAAGGCGGCCUUCUGGACUGACACUGACGCUGAGGCGCGAAAGCGUGGGUAGCAAACAGGAUUAGAUACCCCUGUAGUC